GAUGAAGAACGUAGCGAAAUGCGAUAAGUAGUGUGAAUUGCAGAAUUCCGUGAAUCAUCGAAUCUUUGAACGCACAUUGCGCCUUCUGGCAUUCCGGAAGGCAUGCCUGUUCGAGAGUCAUUAACAACCGUUUCGAUCCCUUUCUUUCAGAAAUUACAAAGAGGAAAAGGGUUUGGUUAUGGUGGAGGAGGGAAAGGGAGCGUUUAGCCUGUAAAAAAAGAGGCUGUGUUCCGCCUCCCCCCCAAAAUUGUACAGGCGGUCGUGUGCGCCCACGCAUCGAGGUGUUGUAAAAGCUGCCACGGCACUUUUCACCUGUGCAGUGCGAGAUUGGCCAGCCGGUUUAAAAACCCCUCCAAACAAUCAAAGGUUGACCUCGGAUCAGGUAGGGAUACCCGCUGAACUUAAGCAUAUCAAUAAGCGGAGGA
rnacentral:misc_RNA from 1 species